rnacentral:rRNA from 1 species
GACGAACGCUGGCGGCGUGCUUAACACAUGCAAGUCGAACGAAGUGGCGAACGGGUGAGUAAUGCGAGGGUAACCUGUCCUCCUUUUUAGGAUAUGCCAAGGAAACGUGGUCUAGUACCGAAUUAAGUGGGAUGGGCUCGCGGUCUAUUAGCUUGUUGGUGGGGUGAUGGCCUACCAAGGCGGUGACGGGUAGCCGGCCUGAGAGGGGAACCGGGAAUGAGGGGAGGGAGCGACGGCUACGGCUGGUACGUGUGGGAGCAGUGGGGGAAAGGUCACAAGGGGCGCAAGGCGAAUGCGGCGACGUCGAGUGGGGUAUGGGGGCGUACGGGUUGUAAGCCUGUGAAGAUCGCGGGCGGGUAGGUGGAGAAGAAGCGCCGGCUAACUACGUGCCAGCAGCCGCGGUAAUUC